rnacentral:rRNA from 1 species
CGUGCCUAAUACAUGCAAGUAGAACGCUGAAGGAGGAGCUUGCUUCUCUGGAUGAGUUGCGAACGGGUGAGUAACGCGUAGGUAACCUGCCUGGUAGCGGGGGAUAACUAUUGGAAACGAUAGCUAAUACCGCAUAAGAGUAGAUGUUGCAUGACAUUUGCUUAAAAGGUGCACUUGCAUCACUACCAGAUGGACCUGCGUUGUAUUAGCUAGUUGGUGGGGUAACGGCUCACCAAGGCGACGAUACAUAGCCGACCUGAGAGGGUGAUCGGCCACACUGGGACUGAGACACGGCCCAGACUCCUACGGGAGGCAGCAGUAGGGAAUCUUCGGCAAUGGACGGAAGUCUGACCGAGCAACGCCGCGUGAGUGAAGAAGGUUUUCGGAUCGUAAAGCUCUGUUGUAAGAGAAGAACGAGUGUGAGAGUGGAAAGUUCACACUGUGACGGUAUCUUACCAGAAAGGGACGGCUAACUACGUGCCAGCAGCCGCGGUAAUACGUAGGUCCCGAGCGUUGUCCGGAUUUAUUGGGCGUAAAGCGAGCGCAGGCGGUUAGAUAAGUCUGAAGUUAAAGGCUGUGGCUUAACCAUAGUAGGCUUUGGAAACUGUUUAACUUGAGUGC